ACGCAACGCGAAGAACCUUACCAAGGCUUGACAUACACCGGUAACGCCCAGAGAUGGGUGCCCCUUUGUGGUCGGUGGACAGGUGGUGCAUGGUUGUCGUCAGCUCGUGUCGUGAGAUGUUGGGUUAAGUCCCGCAACGAGCGCAACCCUCGUCCUAUGUUGCCAGCGGGUCAUGCCGGGGACUCAUGGGAGACUGCCGGGGUCAACUCGGAGGAAGGUGGGGAUGACGUCAAAUCAUCAUGCCCCUUAUGUCUUGGGCUUCACGCAUGCUACAAUGGCCGGUACAAAGGGCUGCGAUACCGCGAGGUGGAGCGAAUCCCAGAAAGCCGGUCUCAGUUCGGAUUGGGGUCUGCAACUCGACCCCAUGAAGUCGGAGUCGCUAGUAGUCGCAGAUCAGCAACGCUGCGGUGAAUACGUUCCCGGGCCUU
rnacentral:rRNA from 1 species